AUGACUGCUGGCAAUAGUAAAUUACAUUACUUAAAGGAGACAUAUCAUGCCCCUUUUUGCAAUAGGUAAUAUAAGUCUCAGGUGUCCCCAGAAUGUGUCUGUGAAGUUUCAGCUUAAAAUACGCC